UGAGUAGACGCAGCAAGAGCAAGCUUUCCCACAGUACCACAAAACCCAUAGCAUACUUAUCCUAACAAAUAACAUGUCUUUCCUUCUGCCCUCUUCUAUUCUACCCCAGAAUGAGCUGCAGUGUUGUAUCAGACCACAGUUCUCUAAUGGAAGCAGCCGUUGACCCUUCGGAUAUUCCAGCUUUGCAGCAGAUCAAAAGCUACAGUGGGCUCUUCCCCUUCUCAGGAGGCCUGGAAACAAGAGCAGAACCUGCCAGUUGAGACCGAUAUCUGCUGCAGGGUGAUGAUGAUGCUGCAGGAGGAAACAGAUUUCUCCCUGACAAGACAGAAGACAAAUACUCUUCCAACUCACUCUCCCUUGAUUGAAAUGACACAUCGCUACAUCUUUCUCUUGUACAUGAUUUACAAUCACAGCUCAUUAUUCUUGACCUGUCCUUAACACUGUACAGUCUGCCUAAAAUAAAGGUUGAAUAGUCUUUUUGAC